AAUAGAUACCCAGGUAGUCCACGCCGUAAACGAUGAGUGCUAAGUGUUAGGGGGUUUCCGCCCCUUAGUGCUGCAGCUAACGCAUUAAGCACUCCGCCUGGGGAGUACGGUCGCAAGACUGAAACUCAAAGGAAUUGACGGGGGCCCGCACAAGCGGUGGAGCAUGUGGUUUAAUUCGAAGCAACGCGAAGAACCUUACCAGGUCUUGACAUCCCACUGACCGCUACGGAGACAUAGUUUUCCCUUCGGGGACAGUGGUGACAGGUGGUGCAUGGUUGUCGUCAGCUCGUGUCGUGAGAUGUUGGGUUAAGUCCCGCAACGAGCGCAACCCUUGAUCUUAGUUGCCAUCAUUUAGUUGGGCACUCUAAGGUGACUGCCGGUGACAAACCGGAGGAAGGUGGGGAUGACGUCAAAUCAUCAUGCCCCUUAUGACCUGGGCUACACACGUGCUACAAUGGACGGUACAAACGGUUGCCAACCCGCGAGGGGAGCUAAUCCGAUAAAACCGUUCUCAGUUCGGAUUGUAGGCUGCAACUCGCCUAC
rnacentral:rRNA from 1 species